UCCCGUAAGGGUGACCUGCGGAAGGAUCAUUACCGAGUUGAUUCGGGCUCCGUCCCGAUCCUCCCACCCUUUGUAUACCUACCUCUGUUGCUUUGGCGGGCCGCGGUCUUCCGCGGCCGCCCCCCGAUUUUGGGGGGUGGCUAGUGCCCGCCAGAGGACUAUCAAACUCCAGUCAGUAAACGUUGCAGUCUGAAAAAAAUAUUAAAUAAACUAAAACUUUCAACAACGGAUCUCUUGGUUCUGGCAUCGAUGAAGAACGCAGCGAAAUGCGAUAAGUAAUGUGAAUUGCAGAAUUCAGUGAAUCAUCGAAUCUUUGAACGCACAUUGCGCCCCUUGGUAUUCCGGGGGGCAUGCCUGUUCGAGCGUCAUUUCAACCCUCAAGCUCUGCUUGGUAUUGGGCACCGUCCUUUGCGGGCGCGCCUCAAAGACCUCGGCGGUGGCGUCUUGCCUCAAGCGUAGUAGAAUACACCUCGCUUCGGAGCGUAAGGCGUCGCCCGCCGGACGAACCUUCUGAACUUUUCUCAAGGUUGACCUCGGAUCAGGUAGGGAUACCCGCUGAACAUAAGAGGAUCA
rnacentral:rRNA from 1 species